rnacentral:rRNA from 1 species
GAAAACUCCGGUGGUAAAAGAUGGGCAUGCGUUGUAUUAGCUAGUUGGUGAGGUAACGGCUCACCAAGGCGACGAUACAUAGGGGGACUGAGAGGUUAACCCCCCACAUUGGUACUGAGACACGGACCAAACUCCUACGGGAGGCAGCAGUGAGGAAUAUUGGUCAAUGGACGCAAGUCUGAACCAGCCAUGCCGCGUGCAGGAAGACGGCUCUAUGAGUUGUAAACUGCUUUUGUACGAGGGUAAAUGCAGGUACGUGUAUCUGUUUGAAAGUAUCGUACGAAUAAGGAUCGGCUAACUCCGUGCCAGCAGCCGCGGUAAUACGGAGGAUCCAAGCGUUAUCCGGAUUUAUUGGGUUUAAAGGGUGCGUAGGCGGUUUUAUAAGUUAGAGGUGAAAUCUCGGGGCUCAACUCCGAAAUUGCCUCUAAUACUGUAGGACUAGAGAGUAGUUGCGGUAGGCGGAAUGUAUGGUGUAGCGGUGAAAUGCUUAGAGAUCAUACAGAACACCGAUUGCGAAGGCAGCUUACCAAACUAUAUCUGACGUUGAGGCACGAAAGCGUGGGGAGCAAACAGGAUUAGAUACCCUGGUAGUCCACGCAGUAAACGAUGAUAACUCGUUGUCGGCGAUACACA